AUAUAGGGAAUUAAUUAAAUAAAAAGAUAAUUAUUUUAUUGAAUAGGGUUUCAUCCUUAACCUCAGUGUAAGAAAAUUAGCUAGACAUACUUGAAUUGGGAGCAACAAAAUAAAUAAAUUUAGCCAUGGGGAAGCCGAAUUGCUGCAGAUUUUCUUCUCUGUCUUGAAUCCUUGCGUCUGCAGUUCUCCUCCCUUUCGUUUCCGUCCCUUGCCUUUAUAUAAUGUUACUGACUUGCUUAAUCCUUAUUGGAUUCUAAUUGCAUUAAUUCUUCUCCACCGACUUAUAAAACCCACACACCAAGCCCUUUUUAAAUUAUUUCCUUACUAAACUUUGAAAGCAAAGCACACGUUAGACCACAAAAGCAAAAGACCAAUUAAUGACUUCUUCUUUUAAUGCCCAGCACAUGCACUCCAAAUUGCCAAAUCUUUGCUUUCCAAAUGCAUGCCCACCGUUCAUCUUUUGAUGGGAUUGACUUCCAAUUUUAGUAUUAUUGACUUCCAAAUUUGAACUUUCUCAUGCCCUUUUUAUCCUUAAUCUUCAAUUAAUUCCCUAUGCAAUAAAAUAAUUCAAUUAAUUAAAAAUAAUAAAUAAACAUAACUAGCAAUUAUAUUAUUAAGGGUAAAAUAUGUAUAUAAAUAAUGCUCAUCAUUACCCUUUGUGUUGUUGACUAACUUAGUUACUACUUUGCAAUCUGUCUCUACAAUCAAAUUUGCUGCAGCUGCCUCCUUUGCAAUCUGUAAACCUCAUUGGAUAGCUUCUACUUUUGUAAAACUUACAUCCUUCCUGUAGAGGGCUUGUUUGAUGCCUGCUGCUACUACCCUGCCAUUUGAGUCCCGUAAAACUACUCCCAAACCAACCCUCUGAUCUUUGCUGUUAGUAGCUGCAUCUACAUUGAGCUUAAGCACAUUUGGGGGGGGGGGGGGGAGGUGACCGUCUAUGCUGGCUUUUCUUUAUAGUAUUGCCAAUAUGAAGUGUCCCUAUUUUUCUCACUCUUUGGUAAGCUUCUAGAACUGAUUCUGCCUUUACUGCUGAAAUUAUUAGUUAUAUCUUCUUUCUUUUAAAUAUCAACUUGUUUCUAGCAUAUCAGAUAGCCCAACAAUACAUGAUCAUAAGCUCAGCUGCAGUUUUCGUUGAUUUGUUACACAUAUUCUGGACAUAGCUGAAGAUAUCUUGGUACGAGAUAUUCUGAUGUUCAAAUGUGGAUGGAGGUAAGUUCCAAAUCUUCCUUGCUAUUUUAUAAUCAAACAAUGCAUGACUUAUAGUUUCCAUACUCUUGUUGCAUCUUUGACAGAUAGGCUCUGGUAAACAUUUCCUUUUCCAUAAAUUUUCAACUGUUGGCAAAAUGUUUUUUAUAGCCGUCCACAUGAAAAUCUUAAUCUUUUCAGGUAGCUUGAAGGCCUAAAGAACAUUCCAUUGCCUAUAACAACUUUUUGAACUACCUGGCAUAUCUUAGAACUUGAGAGUCUGAAUGCUAGCUGAUAUCCUCUUUUCAUUGAAUACUCUCAUCUUUUUUCAUAAUGCUACAUCACUUCAUUCUCUUUUUGGCUUCUAGGAAGGGGAAUAUGUAGUAUCUUGGGGUAGAAAAUGUUGUUUCAACUUGUUUACAUUCCACUUAUUUCCUACAUCAAUCAGUUCAGCCACCAUAGUUUCAGCUGGCAAGGUUUGAAGGUGUCUGGCCUAGAUAACUAAUUAUCCUUUGUAAGUUCAGAUUUUCCUUCCAUUUCAUACCCUCCAUUUUACGCCUUUGUCAAUCACUUGUCUUCCCCAUAGAAUGCUCCUUCAUAUGUAAGAUGGAUUGGAUCCUGCAGUGGCAUCAUCCAUUGAUCCCUACCAAAAUUUCGCGAUGGCUUUUUGAAUAUCAUCACAUAGUCCAUUUAGAAGUCUAAAAACAUUCAUAGCGUACACCGGUACUGCCUGUGCUACGACUUUGAUGAGUAUUUCUUUCCUUCUACUGGAAAACAUCUUGUGACACCAACUUGAUAUCUUGCUUAUCACCUUUAGUUUCACUCAUUAAAAAACCUCGUUUUUCUUCUGCCCAUCAUAGAUGGAAGGCCUAAAUAUCUUUCAUAUUUCGACACCACUUUAAGCUUGAAGAUGUUUUUAAUUGCUGCAAUUUGACCACUUGUAAUUUUACCAUUGAAAAAUAUGAAAGAUUUCUCGUAAUUAAAAAUCUGCCAUGAUGCCCUAGCAUAGCAAUCGAAAAUCCCCUUCAGAUUCUUACAAUCUAAAUCUGAAGCUCUGGUAAAGAUUAAGCUGUCAUCGGCGAAAAGCAGAUGGGAUAUGGUAACUUAUUUUGCGAAUCUCAAGCCUCUAAUCUGUUGCUUCCUCUCAGCCUAGAUUUAGUAAAUCCAAGAAGGCUUCUGCACAUGAUGAAGAGGUAUGAAGAGAGGGGGUAGCCUUGUCUUAGCCCCUUUCUGGGAGGAUUAAGCCUUUUGGGGUCCCAUUGAUAAUAACUGAAAAUGGGCAGUAGUUAUGCACCUCAUAAUCAGACUCAUCCAUUACCUGAGAAACCAAAUUUUUCCAUGGCUUGAUUUAGAAAGCUCCACUCAAUUCUAUCAUACUCCUUACUAAUGUAUAAUUUUAGAGCCACUAACCUGUUUCUUCUCCCUUUACUAUGUCUAAUCUUGUGGAGGCAUUCAUAGCCAAUAAUCACUUUAUCUGUAAUGAGUCUAUUGGGGAUGAAUGCGCUUUGAGUUGGGGAUAUGAUUUUAGAAAGAAUUGGUUUCAGCCUAUUUGCAAUUACCUUAGCUAUGAUUCUAUAAAUCACAUUGCAAAGACUAAUAGGUCUAAAAUCAAUAACUUUCUUAGGUUUCCCAGUCUUAGGGAUUAGGGCAAUGUAAGUAUGGUUGAGUGAAGCUAAAUCACCUAGCUCAUUAAGAAUGUGUAGGCAUUUGUGACUAUACCUCUGCCUACUGUCUGCUAAUGUUUUUGGAAAAAAAUAACAGGUAAUCCAUUCGGUUAGUUUGUUCAGUUAAAAACGCCUUUCUAGUGACAUGUAAAUUUCUCUUUUUAGUGCAUAAAUCUUUCAAAAACUUGGCAUAGGAAGGAACUUGCUUAAUGGCAUCGAGUAAAGGGAUGUUUAUACUUACCUGUUUGAAGAUUUUCAUAAUCUCACCUGUUGAAGUCCCUUUCUUUACCUUUGUUAACCUUUAAGGAAAAGGAGCCUUAGGAAUGUAAGCUGGUGGGCCACUCUCUUCUAGAUCAUUUGGUGAUGAGUCUUGUGAUGGAACUGGAUCUGAAGAAGUAGGCUCAGAUGUCUUCCUUGUUUGAACCUCUGCUUUGUUGUCAAAUAAUUUUCCUCUUCUCAAGGUCAUAACAGAUUUUGCUUCUUCAUGUUGAUGGCUUGAACUCGAUCCAACUUCGUGCACUCCUUUGGGAUUAUGAAUUGGUUGACUUGGAAAUUUUCCUUUUUCUCUCUCAGCUACAGUAGUUGCUAAUUGACUCAAUUGAUGUUCAAUCUUUAGAAUAGCUUGAAUGUUUGACUGAAAAGCUUGUUGGGUUGACUGAAUGAAACUUUGAAGUGUAUCAUCUAAAGAAGACUUUCUUUGUUGGGGUGCAACAAAUUGGGACAUAGGUUGUUGGGCAGGAGGAUGUACUUGGUUAGGAGGGACAAAUUGUUGAUUGGGCAUGUUCAACUGUUGUCCUCCUUGGUUUGACAAAGGUUGAUUUUGUUUCCAAGAAAAAUUCGGGUGAUUCCUCCAAUUAGGAUUAUAUGUGGGUGAAUAUGGAUUAUUGGGGGUUUUCUCAUAUGAUUGUAAGGCAUGUACCUGCUCAGAAUAAGCCUCUGGAUAGGCUGGUAAUGAUGGACAAUUCUGUGCUGUAUGAGACAAGUUAGAACAAAGAGCACAAACCUCAUUAGCUAUACUAGGAUGAUGAUUCAUUGAUUGGUUCAGAGCUAAGGCAUCUACUUUCCUAGAAAGUGUAGCUAGAGUGGAUUUCACAUCAAAAUCAUCCUUAACUUCAUAUAACCCCUUUCUAGAAACUUGAGAUGAUUUUUCUCUUUGAUUUGAAAAAUCCCACUGUUGAGAAUUCUCAGAAAGUGAAUUAAAGAAAUCCCAUGCAGCCCCUUCAUGUAAGUUCAAAAAUCUCCCACCAUUCAUAGACUCUAGCAUAUGACGAUUUGACAUGGUUAAACCGUUAUAAAAGCAUUGUAUAAGUCUCCAUUUUUCAAAACCAUGGUGGGGACACUUGAGGAGUAAAUCAUUGAAUCUUUCCCAACACUCGUAAAAUUGUUCACCUUCUCUUUGAUAAAAAUCACUUAUCUCUCUCCUAAGGGCAUUUGUUUUAGACAUAGGGAAAAACUUGGUGAGAAACUUAUUACUCAAUUCAUCCCAUGUACUAAUAGAUCCAGCAGGAAGUGCAUUCAACCAAGCUUUUGAUUUGUCUUUUAAUGAGAAAGGGAAUAUACGAAGCUUAAUUGACUCAUCAUUAAAAUUUUAAAAACGGAAUGUAGAGCAUAUGUCAAGAAAUUCCUUAAUAUGCAAAUAUGGAUCCUCUCUCUCUAACCCAUGGAAAGAUGGUAAAAGUUGAAUGACAGAGGGCUUAAGCUCAAAGUGUGUUGCUGUAGUUUGUGGCAACACAAUACAAGAUGGUUGGUUUGCUGCAAGUGGUGAAAAAUAUUCUCUAAGGGUUUUCUCUGCUUGCACUGGUGGAAGUAUUGGCAAUAGUCUAUUUGGGUCAUCCAUCACUUCUACAGAACUAGUUUGACUACUAUCAAUUUUCGACUCUCUUUUAACCAAACGAUUUGUUGAAUCACAUUCCCAAACACUCAUAAACUAACUAGACAAGGAAAUAAAGAAAAAUAAAAUUAAAUAAACAAACAAUAAUGAGAAUAAACGAAAUUUAAAAAUAAAAGAAGUUAAACAACUAAAUAAUGAAUUUAAAGACAAAUAAAAGUUUUUUUUUUCAACCAUAGUCAGGAGCUUUCACUCUACCCCUUAAGGUAGCCUUCUUCUCAUGGUAGAUUAUCCUCUACAUACUUGUGGUACAUAGGCCCAAAUUACUUAAGGAUAGCUUCACUCUUAAGGGUUAUAGGUAGCUAUUUCUGACUUUGGUGCCCAUGUAUACUAUUUUGUAUUGUGGAGAUAAGAAUUAAGACAAACAGUCAUUUACUCUAUCUAAAAUUCUCAACUCAGGCUGCGUCAAUAUCAAAUUUCAAGUCAAAAUUACGAAAGAAUUGAUAUUAGUGCUCAUGGUCUAAAGAAUCUCAAUCAAGAGGAGCUAACACAAGAAUCAAGUAUAAACUAAGACAAUAUUCAACCCUUUCUAAAAACUAUAUUCAUUGUCAAUCAAGUUCUUAUCAUUGGCUUUUCACGUAAAAACAAAAAAACACAAUUUGUUUUUUGAAUUUUUGAUUUUUUUUGUUUUUUUUAACAAACAAAGCAACACUAUUCCCACCCCCAAACUUAUUCGGAACAUUGUCCUCAAUGUUUCAUAAAUAAAAGAUAUGCAUGCAAACAAAUGAAAGAAAUAAUAAUAAUAAUAAUAAAUAAUAAAAAGAAAGUUGGAGAGAACACACCUGGAUGGGCUGUGAAAUCUUAAAAAAAAUGACAACUAAAAAGAAAACAUUAGAAAAGAAAAAUACUAGAAAAGAAAAACAAACAAAGAAAAGAAAACCUACUAUUAAAAUAAAACAAGAGUGCAAAGAUGGACUUAAUUAAUCCUGAUAAACAGGAUCAUCUAAAAGUAUCUCCUCAACUUCUGGUGUUCUUCACUCUAAAAAUGGUUUUAAUCUUUGCCCAUUGACCUCAAAAUAAAUCACAAUUUUUAGGGUUUUCAAUCUCAAUUGCUCCAUAAGGGAAGACAGUACGAACUAUAAAAGGACCAGACCAUCGAGAACGUAACUUACCUGGAAAGAGAUGCAAUCGGGAAUUAUAUAAAAAUACUUUCUGACCUGGUGUAAAGGCUUUUCUCAAAAUGUGUUUGUCAUGAAAGACUUUCAUUCGCUGUUUAUAAAUCUUGGCAUUCUCAUAUGCAUCAUUCCUGAUCUCUUCAAGUUCUGCUAGUUGUAAUCUUCUCUUGGAUCUAGCCUGCUGCAUGUCAAAAUUGAAUUUCUUGAUCAGCCAAUAUGCACGAUGCUCCAACUCUACUGGCAGAUGACAUGCUUUUCCAUACACAAGUCGAUAAGGUGACAUCCCAAUUGGUGUUUUAAAAGCAGUCUUAUAUGCCCACAAUGCAUUAUCAAGUCUUAAAGACCAAUCAUUUCUAUCUGGCCUAACUGUUUUCUCUAGAAUCUGCUUGAUCUCUCUAUUAGAAAUCUCUACUUGGCCACUGGUUUGAGGAUGGUAUGGGGUGGCAACCUUAUGUGUAAUGGAAUAUUUGUUCAAAAGAGUUUUGAAAGGUUUAUUACAAAAAUAGGUACCACCAUCACUAAUGAUUGUUCUAGGGAAACCAAAACGAGACAGAAUAUUACUCUUCAAGAAUUUCAGUACAACCCUAUGAUCAUUGGUUUUGCAUGGAAUAACUUCAACCCACUUCGACACAUAAUCCACUGCAACCAAUAUAUACUGAUAACCAAAAGAUGGAGGGAAAGGUCCCAUGAAAUCAAUACCCCAUACAUCGAAGAUCUCAAACACAAGAAUAUGAUUGAGUGGCAUCAUGUUCCUCUUUGAAAUGCUACCCAUACGUUGGCACCUAUCACACAAAGAACAGAAAAUAUAAGCGUCAUGAAAAAGAGUAGGCCAAUAAAAACCACACUGUAAAAUUUUUGUUGCUGUCUUUUUAGCACUAAAGUGGCCUCCACAAGCUUGUUCAUGGCAAAAUGAGAUAACACUUUGAAUUUCAUUAUCGGGAACACAUCGCCUAAUAAUCUGAUCAGCACAAUAUUUAAAUAAAUAGGGAUCAUCCCAAAAGAAGUCUUUCAUUUUAGAUAAGAACUUUGUUCUAUCUUGCUUAGUCCAGUGCUCUGGGAUUUGACCUGUAGCAAGGUAAUUAACUAUAUCAGCAAACCAUGGUACAACAUUUACACUCAUAAGUUGCUCAUCUGGGAAAGACUCAUUCAAAGGUAAAGAUUCUAGAAUAAAUUUAAGAUCAAGGCGAGAUAAAUGAUCUGCCACAACAUUUUCAGAACCUUUUUUAUUUCUAAAUUCAAUGUCAAAUUUUUGUAACAGCAACACCCAACGAAUCAAUCUUGCCUUAGCAUCUUUCUUAGUAAACAAAUAUUUUAAAGCAGCAUGAUCAGUAAAAAUAAUCACUUUACAACCUAUAAGAUAAGAUAUGAAUUUAUCAAGUGUAAAAACCACAGCUAGCAUUUCUUUUUCUGUAGUUGAAUAGUUCAACUGUGCAUCAUUGAGUGUCAUACUAGCAUAAUAAAUCACAUAAGGCACACGAUCUAAUCUUUGUCCUAAAACUGCUCCUACAGCAUAAUCAGAUGCAUCACAUAUAAUUUCAAAAGGCAAAUCCCAAUUAGGUGGCUAAAUGAUAGGUGAAGAAGUCAACAAUUUCUUAAGCUUUGCAAAAGCAUCAAGACAAGAUUCAUCAAAGAUAAAAGGUACAUCCUUAACAAGUAAAUUACAUAAGGGUCUAGAAAUUUUACUAAAAUCUUUAAUGAUCUUCUAUAAAAGCCAGCAUGUCCAAGGAAAGAUCUUACUUCUUUUACAGAUUUGGGAUGUGAAAGAUUAGAAAUUAAACCCACCUUAGCUUUGUCGACUUCUAUACCUUUGCUGGAAAUUAUAUGACCAAGGACAAUACCUUGUUUUACUAUGAAGUGACACUUUUCCCAAUUUAGAACCAAGUUCUUUUCUUUACAUCUCUACAAAACUAAUGUUAGGUGCUGCAAACAUUCAUCAAAAAAAUCUCCAUAAACAGAAAAAUCAUCCAUGAAUACUUCAAGAAAUCUCUCAACCAUAUCAGAAAAAAUACUAAGCAUGCAUCUUUGAAAUGUAGCAGGUGCAUUGCAUAAACCAAAUGGCAUUCUCCUAUAUGCAAAAGUUCCAAAUGGACAAGUAAAAGUAGUUUUCUCCUGGUCCUCUGGAGCUAUAGGGAUCUGAUUAUAACCUGAGUAUCCAUCUAGAAAAUAAUAAAAAUCAUGACCUGCAAGUCUAUCAAGCAUUUGAUCAAUAAAUGAAAGAGGAAAAUGAUCUUUUCUUGUGAAUGAAUUCAAUUUUCUAUAAUCAAUGCAAACACGCCAACCUGUAGUUACUCUAGUGGGAAUUAAUUCAUUAUUAGCAUUAGUAACUACUGUAACACCAGAUUUCUUAGGAACAACUUGCACAGGGCUAACCCAAGAGCUAUCUGAAAUAGGAUAAAUAAUUCCUGCAUCUAAUAAUUUGAUUACUUCAGCUCUUACCACUUCUUUCAUGUUAGGAUUUAGCCUACGUUGCAUCUCCCUAAUAGGUUUAGCAUUUUCUUCAAGAUGAAUACGAUGCAUGCAGUCUACUGGAUUAAUACCUUUAAUAUCAGCGAUGGUCCAUCCUAUUGCCUCUUUAUGCUCUUUUAGAAUACCUAACAACUUACCUUUUUGCUCAAGAUCGAGGGAAGAAGAAAUAAUAACAGGUAGAGUGUCAGAUUCUCCCAAGAAUGCAUAUUCUAGAGUGUCAAGCAGUGCUUUGAGUUCCAAUUUUGGUGGUGCCUCCGCAGAUGGGCCAAUUUUCUUCUCAGAAUGAGGCAGUAGUUCUGACUUUGUCUUCCAUUUAGUUGUGUCCGUAAUUAGAGGUGCAUCAAGUAAAGCGCUGAUUUCUGCAAUUGCACUGUCAUCAUUAAAAGAUAAAUCAGAAUGAGUUAGACAUGCCUCUAAUGGAUCAUCAUUAUGAUUAGAAAUGAAAGAAUCUUCUACUAAUUCCUCUAUCAUAUUCGCUUCAACAAAUUCAUCUUCUUCUUGUGGCUGCUUGGUAACAUUAAAAAUAUUCAAUUCCAUGGUCAUAUUACCAAAAGAUAGCUGCAUGUUUCCAUUCCUGCAAUUAAUAAGAGCAUCAGCUGUAGCUAAGAAAGGACGACCUAGAAUAACUGGAGUGUGUUUCUUAGGAUCAUGUGCAUGCUGAGUAUCAAUAAUGAUAAAAUCAACAGGAUAAUAAAAGUUAUCAAUCUGUAUCAACACAUCCUCUAUAAUACCACGAGGUAUUUUCAUUGAUCUAUCAGCAAGUUACAAAAUAAUAGGAGUUGAUUUUAACUCACCUAGUCCAAGCUGCAUGUAAACAGAAUAAGGCAAGAGAUUAACACUAGCACCCAAAUCCAAUAAUGCUUUAUCAAAACAUUAGUUCCCUAUAACACAUGAGAUAGUAGGAGAACCAUGAUCCUUAAAUUUUGGUGGCAUUUUACAUUGAAGUAAAUUGCUAGUUUGUUCAGUUAAAAACGCCUUUUUAGUGACAUGUAAAUUUCUCUUUUUAGUGCAUAAAUCUUUCAAAAACUUGGCAUAGAAAGGAACUUGCUUAAUGGCAUCGAGUAAAGGGAUGUUUAUACUUACCUGUUUGAAGAUUUUCAUAAUCUCACCUGUUGAAGUCCCUUUCUUUACCUUUUUUAACCUUUGAGGAAAAGAAGCCUUAGGAAUGUAAGCUGGUGGGCCACUCUCUUCUAGAUCAUUUGGUGAUGAGUCUUGUGAUAGAACUGGAUCUGAAGAAGUAGGCUCAGAUGUCUUCCUUGUUUGAACCUCUACUUUGUUGUCAAAUAAUUUUCCUCUUCUCAAGGUCAUAGCAGAUUUUGCUUCUUCAUGUUGAUGGCUUGAACUCGAUCCAACUUCGUGCACUCCUUUGGGAUUAGGAAUUGGUUGACUUGGAAAUUUUCCUUUUUCUCUCUCAGCUACAGUAGUUGCUAAUUGACCCAAUUGAUGUUCAAGCUUUAGAAUAGCUUGAGUGUUUGACUGAAAAGCUUGUUGGGUUGACUGAAUGAAACUUUGAAGUGUAUCCUCUAAAGAAGGCUUUCUUUGUUGGGGUGCAACAAAUUGGGACAUAGGUUGUUGGGCAGGAGGAUGUACUUGGUUAGGAGGGACAAAUUGUUGAUUGGGCAUGUUCAACUGUUGUCCUCCUUGGUUUGACAAAGGUUGAUUUUGUUUCCAAGAAAAAUUUGGGUGAUUCCUCCAAUUAGGAUUAUAUGUGGGUGAAUAUGGAUUAUUGGGAGUUUUCUCAUAUGAUUGUAAG
rnacentral:lncRNA from 1 species